rnacentral:rRNA from 1 species
UCGAGAAUAUUCCGCAAUGGGCGAAAGCCUGACGGAGCGACGCCGCGUGCAGGAAGAAGUGCUUCGGUAUGUAAACUGCUUUUGUGGUCUAGAAAGUUAUUGAUCAGACCAAGAAUAAGAGGUUGCUAAACUCGUGCCAGCAGCAGCGGUAAUACGAGUGCCUCAAGCGUUAUCCGGAAUCAUUGGGCGUAAAGGGUGUGCAGGCGGUCUUGUUAGUCUUCUGUCAAAUUCUUCGGCUUAACCGGGGGCUCGCAGGGGAAACGGCAAGACUAGAGGAUGCGAGAGGUCUACGGAACUCAUAGUGUAGCGGUGAAAUGCGUUGAUAUUAUGGGGAACACCAAAAGCGAAGGCAGUAGACUGGAGCAUUCCUGACGCUCAAACACGAAAGCGUGGGUAGCGA